rnacentral:rRNA from 1 species
UACGGAGGGUGCGAGCGUUGUCCGGAAUCAUUGGGCGUAAAGGGCGCGUAGGUGGCCCGGUGAGUCUUUGGUGAAAGCGCGGGGCUCAACCCUGCGUCGGCCAGGGAUACUGCCGCGGCUCGAGCACUGUAGAGGCAGGCGGAAUUCCGGGUGUAGCGGUGAAAUGCGUAGAUAUGUGGAAGAACACCAGUGGCGAAGGCGGUUUCUAGCUUAUUCCUGACGCUAAAGCGCGAAAGCAAGGGGAUCAAACAGG